rnacentral:rRNA from 1 species
AGCGAACGCUGGCGGCAGGCCUAACACAUGCAAGUCGAACGAAGUCUUCGGACUUAGUGGCGGACGGGUGAGUAGCACGUGGGAACGUGCCUUUAGGUUCGGAAUAACUCAGGGAAACUUGUGCUAAUACCGAAUGUGCCCUUCGGGGGAAAGAUUUAUCGCCUUUAGAGCGGCCCGCGUCUGAUUAGCUAGUCGGUGAGGUAAAGGCUCACCAAGGCGACGAUCAGUAGCUGGUCUGAGAGGAUGAUCAGCCACAUUGGGACUGAGACACGGCCCAAACUCCUACGGGAGGCAGCAGUGGGGAAUCUUGCGCAAUGGGCGAAAGCCUGACGCAGCCAUGCCGCGUGAAUGAUGAAGGUCUUAGGAUUGUAAAAUUCUUUCACCGGGGACGAUAAUGACGGUACCCGGAGAAGAAGCCCCGGCUAACUUCGUGCCAGCAGCCGCCGUAA